rnacentral:rRNA from 1 species
UACGUAGGGCGCAAGCGUUAUCCGGAAUUAUUGGGCGUAAAGAGCUCGUAGGCGGUUUGUCGCGUCUGCCGUGAAAGUCCGAGGCUCAACCUCGGGCCUGCAGUGGGUACGGGCAGACUAGAGUGCGGUAGGGGAGAUUGGAAUUCCUGGUGUAGCGGUGGAAUGCGCAGAUAUCAGGAGGAACACCAAUGGCGAAGGCAGGUCUCUGGGCAUUAACUGACGCUGAGGAGCGAAAGCAUGGGGAGCGAACAGG